rnacentral:rRNA from 1 species
AGUAGUCGCGGUAAUUCCAGCUCCAAUAGCGUAUAUUAAAGUUGUUGCAGUUAAAAAGCCCGUAGUUGAAUUUCGGGAUCAAUACGUCGGUCGUGCCUCUGGUAUGUACUGGUGUUAUUGAUUUCUCCCUUCUGAUGAACCAUGAUGUCAUUAAUUUGGUGUUGUGGGGAGCCAGGACUGUUACUUUGAAAAAUUGAGUGUUUAAAGCAGGCCUACGCUUGAAUCAUUAGCAUGGAAUAAUGAAAUAGGACGUUCGAACCUAUUUUGUUGGUUUCUAGGAUCAACGUAAUGAUUAAUAGGGAUAGUUGGGGCAUUAGUAUUCAAUUGUCAGAGGUGAAAUUCUUGGAUUUAUUGAAGACUAACUACUGCGAAAGCAUUUGCCAAGGAUGUUUCAUUAAUCAAGAACG